rnacentral:tRNA from 1 species
CACAAGUUAGUUAACGAUAUAACAUAGUUUUGUCAAAACUAAAUUACUUUAUGAGUACUAGUGU